rnacentral:rRNA from 1 species
UACGUAGGUGGCAAGCGUUGUUCGGAAUUAUUGGGCGUAAAGGGCGCGUAGGCGGUUUGUUAAGUCAGCUGUGAAAGCCCGGGGCUCAACCCCGGAGAGUCGACUGAUACUGGCAGACUAGAGUACGGAAGAGGUAGCUGGAAUUCCCGGUGUAGCGGUGAAAUGCGUAGAUAUUGGGAGGAACACCAGUGGCGAAGGCGGCUCACUGGACCGGUACUGACGCUGAGGCGCGAAAGCGUGGGUAGCAAACAGG